UGGAAUUGCAGUAGUUCGAUGAGGUAUACAAACACGGUUCCGCAGGGGCUGUCUGCAGGACGGACCGGCUUCAGGGUUGUCACAGGCAUCAUCGCGCCCUCCUGUUGUGGAGGAGGAUUCAUCGACUCAGCCUGAAGCACCGAGCAGAGUCCUUCUGCUUGUUCUUCUGACCUUGCCCCAGACACUUCUGUCUCUGGAUUUUCCCGGGAGCCGUCAGAUUGAGUGUCUGGUUGCUUGGAGGAGAAGGAGGUAGAAGCAGAUCUGGGAGAUGCACUUUGCAGCUUCCCGCAAACUGGUGUUUGGUAUGGAAGCUUGUGUUGAUGGCUUUUGCUCUGCUGGCAUAAGGAAGAUUGCUAGCAGAACCCUGGAGAGCUCUGGCACAAGGAGGAACAAGCCACACACUCUCAUCCACCGUGGACACUUUGAGAAGUGCUUUCCAACUAGGGUCAGAUUCUGGGGGCAUUCUUGCAACCAUCCAUUUGGGAUCGGCCCUGGAAGCAAGUGUACACCCUGACCAAGUCUGUGCUCCCCACCAAUAAAAAUGGUAAAUCCCCUUACUCCAA